GAGGGCAGCAUCUGCCAAAAAAGGCCCGAGCGAGGUCAGGGUGAGCGGCGGAGGUUGUCCGGCAGAUCUCAGCCGAGACUCGUCUCCCUUCACUGAAGAGACAAGCUGACCCUCAGAUACGAGCUGCGGGCCACCCAGCUUUCCAGCACAGGAAGGAGAGGGGAAGUGAGGCAUAUUUAGACUGGAGAAAAACCAGGAAAAAUUGAUGUAGCAGUACAAUGGGCUUCAGUCUCCUCUUCACUGGGAAUCGUUCCUGAAAGGAAUGGGACUGAGCCAGGAGUGUCGGAAUGGUUCAGCUCAAUGCCCUUGUGCUGCUCCCAGCCGGGUCCCACGGCCGGUGCCAGACGUGGGUGCAGCUCUGCCGGGUGCUGGCAGGCGGGAGGUGCUACCCCGAGCUUACUUCCAGGUACGGUAAGCGUGAGCCCACGGUCUGCACCUCAACCCGUAGCCAUGCCUUUGGG